CCCAUUGACAGAUGGUAGCUGACAGUUGACAACACAACAAUUUUCUAUUAAAUGUCAGCUGUCUACUCAGUCCAUACAAUAUGUUGGUAUUUUAGUGAUAAUUAAUUUAUGUUAACCAAAUUCCUGUGUCUCAAUAACGUAGAAGGUAAUGUGCAAUCAAAAUGUCUGAAGAGGAAAGUGUUGAUAUCGAACAAGAGUUGGACGAGCUACUGACAAAAGUCCAACCUAACUUGCAGGAUGUUAUCAAACGGAGCUUUACAAAUGUGGUACUGCAACAUACCAAGAAUGGUGAACAGGUGAAGCCAGAUGUACUCGGAGACACUUCAUAUUUUGCCAAAAACACUCAAGUAAACCUGACAAGACUGGAACUAGUGAAGUCUCCGACAUUCCAUGUACAAAACCUAUCGCUGGAUCUCAAGUCUAUGGCUCUUAGUCUGCGUUGUUCUCUGGGAGAGGUUAAUGUGAGAGGCAUAUACAGCGCUUACAAUGAGAACUUGUUUAAUUUAAUACCUGUCAUGGCAGAAGGGCAUGUUGUCAUAUCGUUAUCAAACAUGACUGCAGAUGUGAAUGUGGGCCUGGUGCUGGAAGACGACGCUUUCUCCUUCAUCAACCCCGGCAUAGAGUUUACGCACGACGAGGUCUUAGUAAAGUUAUCGUGGCCUUCACCACAAAGGAACGGCGGAUACGACUUCACAACCACUGAACAGUUAGCUAAACAUAUAGACGACUUACCCCUGACUGCGGCGAUAUCUUUGCCGCUUUAUUCACUGUUAAGGGAUAAAUUACAACGGCAUCUGGCGCUGUGUUUGCGACAAGCAACGAGCAUAUCUGAGGUCGUGUCGUGCAACCCGAACCUAUAUGAGGCUUAUAGUUCAAUGGUAGACUGUUUGGCUCAGAACGGCAACAAAGUGAUAGAUAUCAUUCUGAUCAACAUGAGAAGAACGCUUCUGCAAACAUGUAGGGAGGUGUUGGAGCUACCGCCAUUACAUGCCACGUUUAUGCACAAGAUAGGUUCAACAUCGUUCGUUGGCAGGUUCGAAACGGAUACAGGGUGGGUGAAAAACCUGGCCACAAUAAACAGGAUCAACGACGUUAGCGUCAGUAGGGUUGACCCCAUGAAAACCACCUUCCGUGUCACUCUUAGGAUAAAAGAUUUUCAGAUUGGCUACGACGAGUACCGUAUCAAGGCGAUGGGCGUGUCGUGCAGCGGGCGGCUCGUGGCCGCGUUCAACGACAACGCGCUGCACAUGGCCGUCACCGUCGGCCUCGCGCAGUGGGAGCCGUACGCGCAGCUCGACGACCUGCGGCUGCAGCGGAUGGAAUGCACGGAGCUGCACAUGCCGGGCCUGGGCGCGCUGAGCGGGCUGAGCGGCGCGGGGGGCGCGGGGGGCGCGCGCGGGUGGGCGCGCGGCGCGGGCGCGCUGCUGGCGGCGCCGGGCGCGCUGGCGCAGCUGCACCACGAGCUGCACGCCGCGCUCGCCGACCUCGCGCACCUGCCGCUCUGGGACGAACUCACCGAGCGGUGACCGCCCCGCCGCCCCGCCGCCCUACCCAGCAGUUUUGCCCGGAUGAAAAACUUUUUCCAAGAUAGUGUGGUCUACAUUUAGAGCUGCCGUGACUCAUUGACGAGACAUCUAUCAUCUUCGCUUCAAUAACAGCGCGAUUUCUAUUUACUUCAUUAUUCUUAUUUAUUCUCGUAUACAACUUGCAUUUCUUACUCUAAUUGUUUAUUAUUUUUUAUUAAUGCUAUAUUUUAUAUUCUUUAUUUACUCUUGAAGUAAUUUAUCGAUAUUAGAAAGCAAUUUAUUAAUAUUAUAUUCAAGGCUUUUGCAAUAAAAAUACAUAAUUUUAUUGAAUGUGACUAUUUUUAAGUUUAUUUGUACAUAUUGGUAUAUGGAAAAUAUUUCCACCGAUUAAAAUUGUUUGUAAAAAUUGUGUUGAAAUUGUCGAAAAAAUGUUUGUAAAUAUUUAUUUCUCACUGUGAGACAAUCUACAGGGUCGUUUUGACAUUGCGUUAAUAAAUGAAAAUAAGUACUGGUCUUUACCUCUGCUAACAUUGUGCCAAAAAUCAUCACUUUUACUUACAAUUUUUGUUCAUAAUUUUGUAGAUUUAUGCGAAAAUGGCGCAGGCGUGAUUGUUUUCUGACUGAAAGUGCGAUGUUGCCGCUGCGACGAAUUCUCUUAGAGUAGUAGUAGUGGCAUUAAGACGUGUAAAAUUAAAAUUACUUUUUAUUGAUAUUUAUGUUCGAAACUUACACAUUUUACAUCUACGAUUUCGAGUAACUUAUUGUAAAAUGUUAUUUUCAAAACUAAGAUUACUAUAGUAACGCAAUGUCAUAAUGACCCUGUAUAAUAACAUAAUUUAAUGCAUUGUUAUGUAUGCAAUAAUUAUUUAUGUUCCGCAAGCAAUAUUAUGAUUUAUGAAAUAUUUGCAUGACUCGGUAAUCGCGCAAAUGGCUUGUAUUUUACAGAAACAAUUUGUUACCUUAUUUAACGUAAGUAACGUAUAAGUUCGAAAACCAUGAUAACAAUGUUAUAAAAUAAUAACUCUUCCUAUUCAAUUCACAAUAAAUUAAACCAUAAUUUUUCAACUAUAAUGAAACUGCAAUAUUUGUAUGUUCUAUUGUCUGUGAUUCAAUAAAAUGAAUUUUAAAUGGCAUAAAAAAAAUAAACAAUUCUUCUCGCUAUAACAGGAUCGAUCUCGAAACCCAAACAAUCAAAAUAAUUUAUCUGUGAACAUAUCGAGCGAAUUAUUUUGAUUGGUUCAUUUUAACGAUUGGGUCAAAGCUAUCCGUCGAUUUGUUGUGAUCUAAUUUAAUUUUAACAUAAACUGUGUCCUUUAUAAAAUGGUUUCUACUAUUAUACGUCUGUAAAAAUAUUCAACGUAAAAAGAUAUUAAUAAACAAACAUUGUUUAUUAUUUUAAGUGAAAUGGAACGUCCGUAACUAUUUGUGUUAACUGGUUGUGAGUGCGCUGCAACUCGUGAGACUGUUGUAUUUGUAUUUGAUUAUACAACUUGUUGAAUAAAUUGGUUGACUAUA